AUUGAACGCUGGCGGCAGGCCUAACACAUGCAAGUCGAGCGGAUGAAGGGAGCUUGCUCCUGGAUUCAGCGGCGGACGGGUGAGUAAUGCCUAGGAAUCUGCCUGGUAGUGGGGGAUAACGUCCGGAAACGGGCGCUAAUACCGCAUACGUCCUGAGGGAGAAAGUGGGGGAUCUUCGGACCUCACGCUAUCAGAUGAGCCUAGGUCGGAUUAGCUAGUUGGUGGGGUAAAGGCCUACCAAGGCGACGAUCCGUAACUGGUCUGAGAGGAUGAUCAGUCACACUGGAACUGAGACACGGUCCAGACUCCUACGGGAGGCAGCAGUGGGGAAUAUUGGACAAUGGGCGAAAGCCUGAUCCAGCCAUGCCGCGUGUGUGAAGAAGGUCUUCGGAUUGUAAAGCACUUUAAGUGGGGAGGAAGGGCAGUAAGUUAAUACCUUGCUGUUUUGACGUUACCAACAGAAUAAGCACCGGCUAACUUCGCG
rnacentral:rRNA from 1 species